GACGAACGCUGGCGGCGUGCUUAACACAUGCAAGUCGAACGGAAAGGCCCUGCUUUUGUGGGGUGCUCGCGUGGCGAACGGGUGAGUAACAUGUGAGUCACCUGCCCUUGACUUUGGGAUAACUUCAGGAAACUGGGGCUACUACCGGAUAGGAGCUCCUGCUGCAUGGUGGGGGUUGGAACGUUUCGGCGGUUGGGGAUGGACUCGCGGCUUAUCAGCUUGUUGGUGGGGUAGUGGCUUACCAAGGCUUUGACGGGUGGCCGGCCUGAGAGGGUGACCGGCCACAUUGGGACUGAGAUACGGCCCAGACGCCUACGGGAGGCAGCAGUGGGGAAUAUUGCACAAUGGGCGGAAGCCUGAUGCAGCAACGCCGCGUUCGGGAUGACGGCCUUCGGGGUGUAAACCGCUUUCGCCUGUGACGAAGCGGGAGUGACGUUAAUAGGUAAAGAAGCACCGGCUAACUACGUG
rnacentral:rRNA from 1 species